AGAAGGGGCUGGAUUGCCUCACCUAUCCUAAGAUUCUAGUUAGCACUGAGAUGUCACACAAGCCUCUGUUCUGGGCCUGACACUGAAUGUGUGCCACAGCCCUGGUUUCUAAGCAAACACAGUUACAAGGGAUUCUUAAACACGAACCACUACUCUAGAAACCCGAUCAGCAGCUAACCCAAAUAAAGUAUUUAUAACUUGCAAAAUGGCCCAUGAAGGUGAUCUAGAAGAGAUUUACAGCCAAAAAGGAAUACAUUCUUUAGUGGGGGGCAACUGGAGUAAUUAAUGCCCUCUCUUAGAGAGCCAGACCUGGAGACGUGCAGAGGGGAUGUGUGAAUUUGGGACCACAAGUAGAAUCAAGAAGUAUUUAAUCAUAGGAGACAGAUCCUGAGCAAGUCCUAGAAUUAGAAGGUGUCUGGACCCUUCAAAGCAAUAUCUCGGAGGGUGAUCCAACGUGCAUCCAAGACUGAAUUCCCUGCUAUAGAUAGAAGCCAAAAUCCUGGGAAGCAUCCAAAAAGAAACUACUGUUUUCUCUACACCAAGUAUAAUAAGCUAAUUAUUCCUAUGAAGAGAACCAAUGCAACUGGGUUUGUUCAGGGCCCUGGCAAAAGGACUUUAACCAAGUUUGGAACCUCCUAAAAUACCACUCACUUAGAAUUUGGGACUGAGCCAUGACCUUCUAUUGUUCAAAGGCAUUUUCCUUUGUAAUAAUUCCAUGGAAAGAAAAAUGACUUAAAAGUUGUAUUUAUUAAACAGCCCCAAAGGCAUUUGAACAUCAAUUUACAUUUUUCUCUUUUAUAGAAAAAAAAAACAUAGUUAAGUGUAAAUGAAUGUCAGACAUAUGGUUUACAUUUCCUUUAAGAUACAUGUGGGCUUUAAAAACUAAUGGAAAUACCUAAGGAGAAACACACUCUAUAAUACGGUGAAUCUAAGAUACGUAGAACAUUUGAAGCAGGUCAACAGGACAA
rnacentral:lncRNA from 12 species